ensembl:lncRNA
CUGUUCCCUGCCGGGUCUCUAUGGGGUGCUGCAGUUCCCUGUAUGGCCACUGUGGGGCGCUGUGGGGCUCCAUGGUUCCCCAUAGGGUCCCUAUGGGGCGCUGCUGCUCCCUGUAGGGUUUCUAUGGAUCCUUUUAGGGUCCUUGUAUGGGGCGCUGUGGGUCUCUAUGGGUCCCUCUCGGAUCUCUAUGGGGCGCUGUGGGUCUCUAUGGGUCCACAUAGGGUCCCUAUGGGGCGCUGCUGUUCCCUGUAGGGUCUCUAUGAGUCCUUGUAGGGUCCUUGUAUGGGGCGCUGUGGGUCUCUAUGGGUCUUUGUAGGGUCUCCAUGGGGCGCUGUGGGUCUCCAUGGGUCCACAUAGGGUCCCUAUGGGGCGCUGCUGUUCCCAGUGCGGCCACUGCGGGGCGCUGUGGGUCUCUGUGGGUCCUUGUAGGAUUUCUAUGGGGCGCUGCUGUUCCCUGUAGGGUUUCUAUGGAUCCUUGUAGGGUCCUUGUAUGGGGCGCUGUGGGUCUCUAUGGGUCUUUGUAGGGUCUCCAUGGGGCGCUGUGGGUCUCUAUGGGUUCCUGUAGGAUCUCUGUGGGGCGCUGCUAUUCCCAGUGCGGCCACUGUGGGGCGCUGUGGGUCUCCAUGGGUCCCUGUCGGAUCUCUAUGGGGCGCUGUGGGUCUCUAUGGGUCCACAUAGGGUCCCUAUGGGGCGCUGCAGUUCCCUGUAUGGCCACUGUGGGGCGCUGUGGGUCUCUAUGGGUCUUUGUAGGGUCUCCAUGGGGCGCUGUGGGUCUCCAUGGUUCCCCAUAGGGUCCCUAUGGGGCGCUGCUAUUCCCUGUAAUGUCUCUACGGGGCGCUGCAGUUCCCUGUAUGGCCACUGCGGGGCGCUGUGGUUCUCCAUAGUUCCCCAUAGAGUCCCUAUGGGGCGCUGCUGUUCCCAGUGCGGCCACCGCGGGGCGCUGUGGGUCUCUGUGGCUCCUUGUAGGAUUUCUAUGGGGCGCUGCAGUUCCCUGCCGGUCCCUAUGGGGCGCUGCGGUCCCUCCACGCCCCCCCCGCCCCGUGCGGUCCCUCCCACCCCCCAUCCCCUCCCUCCCCCCCCCCCGCCCCCCCCCCACCUCGCAGCCAUGGGGCGCUGCGGGGCGGUCGGGCUGUGGCUGCUGUGGGGCGCGUUGUGGGGCGCGGGUUUGGGGGCCGCCUUCGAAUUGGGGGAAGCCCUGCGGGGGCUGCGGGGGGAAAACGCCCGGCUGGAGGGGACGCUGCGAAACCUCAGCAGGGCGCUGGGCCAACUGCGGGCGCGGCUCCGGGAGCCCGCGGGUGCGUCUGCGGAGCACAUGGACCCCAUGCAGCCCUAUGGGACCCUAUGAACCCCAUACAGCCCUAUGGAACCCUAUGGAACCCUAUUGAAUCCUGUGAAACCCUAUGGAGCCCUAUUGAACCCUAUAGACCCUAUGGAACCCUACGGAGCCCCAUGGAACCCUAUGGAGUCCUAUAGACCCUAUAGAGCCCUAUUGAACCCUAUGGAACCCUAUAGAUUUUGUCAAAAUCCCAUAGAAUCCUAUGGAGCCCUAUAGAACCCUAUGGAAUCCUACAGACCUAUGCAGCCCUAUAGAACCCCAUAGAGCCCUAUAGAGCCUAACAGAACC